GGCGUCUGGCGACGGUGCCUUGUUGUGGUGCCGUGCGCCUUGGUAACCCUGCCCGGGCUGGAUUAGCCGUGCUGUGGGUGCCGGCGCGUUUCGGUUUCCUGACUGGUUGUUAACCAUUUUUUUCCCCUCUGGAUUUGUGUAUAUUUUCUCGGCUGGUGUGCCCACUCGCGUUUGUGCUGCCUUUUGCUAAUACAGCGAUAACGCUCUUUAGUUUGGGCUUUAGACAAGUGCGUGAGGCUUUUCCUCCUUUAUUCUGUUUGUUGUGUUGGUGCUCAGCUGAUGGCCUCAGAGCAGGGAAAAGAAGUAAACGAAGCUAGCUGUGCUCUUUUUCCUUUUCAGGAGUCACUUAAUAAAAUGGAUGGCACAACCCCAGCAGUAAGGAAGAGAUCAUCUCUUUGUGGGGUUGCUCAGGAAUCUGCUUCUAAUGUUGUGAAGAAAGGGGUCAGCAGUGAGAAGGUGAUGCUGCUUUCAGUCCUCAAGGCAGGAAGACAAAAGUGGUCUCACCAUCAGCACGUGAAUACAACUGCCUUCACUUCAAAUCUGGAGAGCAGGUUUGAUGCCCUAAAACAGAAGCCAUAGAGUUGGUGUGGACUGGUGCAGAGACAAAAUCAUUAUGUUCUAAUCAUGUUUCAUGGAAGACAGAGAAAAAACCAGCUUUGGGCAAAAUAUCCAUAUCUCUUGUGGCAGAGAUCCAGGAGGUAGCUACCUCUGCUGCAGGUAAUGCAUGAUUGCUUUUGUGCUGUAUACUUCAGGAUGGGUAAUAACAAUCAGUGAAAAUAUGUUUAAAGGAUAUACUGAAAUAUCAGGAAAAGAAAUUAAUUGAUCUAGCAGGCUUCUUCCAUGCAAUAGAUUUUAAACAACUUGUCAAAUAUUUCUUGGCUGUUACACCCUUGCAUAAGAGCUUUCCCUGGUUCAUAAAGAAAAUUAAUGGGAAAUCAAUAACAGUAUUUAAAAAAUCACCAAACACUUCCCAUCCAGUGAAAGUCUCACUUUCAGAGUGCUACUAAUGCAACAGGCAGAGUGGGAAGACCACGCAGACUUGACCUUGGUGAUUAAAACAGAAGCCAGUGUAGAUGGAAAGUGCAGUGAAAGUUGCUUUCAGAAGCAACCAGGAGGACCUGCCUGCUUCCCCACAAGAACAAACCUCUAAACAGAGCCAAUUGUGAGCAUCAGCUUGCAGAAGUCUUGUUUGAAGAUGCAGUCGAGACACUACGCUGACUUCCUGCUAGAAGAUACAAACUGGCCUGAACAGCAAGGAAAAAAAAAAAAUCACAUAAGGGUGCAAACCACAACAGAAGAACUCUAAAGUGAGUUUCCUGUAACAUCAUACAACCCAAUUUCAGACAACAAAGAGGGAACAUUUGCUACUUCAGGUUGCUUCAUGCUACUCUUGCAGAAAACCUGGAAUCAUGUUGGAAAUGGGAAGAAACAAGCCAUAAAUUAGAUUUGUGUUUUGGUUUAUAACUAUUAAUAAAAGCACAAAGAGGAGUAAGACAGUACAUGGUGAUUUUGUGGCCGUAUCCGCAUUUAGGCGAUUUUUCUGGUGAAGGAGGUACGUUGUAGUUACCAUGUAUGUAAAUUAAUACAAUUGUAAUUACCC